GGUAUUGACAUAGAAAAGCGUCGUAAAUUAACAUGCCUUACUGCACGUGACUAAAAUCCAUCCCGGGACUUCAAAAUUUUAGGGAAAAAAUAAGCGGGCUUUUUCAUCGGCACAAUUCUACAGCGCAUAAACUUUAGUUCUCAUCAGCACUACUUUCCCACAGCUAAACCCUAACUUUUCUAUGCUUACAAUCGAUCUCAUCUGAUCUCCUAAACCGCUUGAAAUUGUUGAAUUGUUGUUCCUCUCUUCAGUAUUAUCUUCAAUUAUCGGUUGCUUAUGAGGCAUCAAUGUCAGAGUAUUGUCCACUCUAAAUUUUCCAUUGAAGCGGCUUCAAGAGCUUUCUCUCCUCCAUUGAAGCAGCUUCUGAGGUAUAAUGUUUUACUAUUAAAAUCUCCAAAUAUCAAUUUCACAACUUAAGGGUUUAAUUUCACUCUGACAUUUACCUUUAAAGUCAUUCUCAAACUCUCUCAAUCGGUUUCCACCGCCACAGUACACCACUGACAUUUGCGACGAUUGACUGCGCUCAGGCCAUGGUAAACGGUGAUGUUAAUCUGGCCACGGUGUAAGUUAUUCUAAUAAAUUUGUUUUCGUCUGAAUUAUGUAAUUAGGGUUCUAAAUUUUAGUUCGUCUCUAACAUUGCUGAAACCGAAAGAUGUUUAUAUUUUUUAAAAUGUUAAAUUAGCUUGAUGUGUAAUCUCCUGUGGUCAAAGCAGUAGAUCGAAGCAGAAGCAAAUGCCUGGCCGCAGAGAUUGCAGCAAUGGUGAUUCUCAGCAUCCCAAACUGGAACUUCCUGGUACUGAUUACAUGCCCCUGAACCGAUAGGUAUUUUAUUUAAUUUUUAUAAAAUGCAGUUUUCAAAACUCUAUCAAAAGGCAAAGAGCUCUAGAUAUCUUCUAAGAUCAAGAUAUUGUAUAUAUCUUCUCCCAAUGUUACCCAUUAUAGAGCUUUGAACUUAUAGUCGAAGUUUUCAGGAUAGUGCUAGAAAGGCCCUUAAGCCUUAUGGGGAGGAAAAUGGAUCUGCAAAAGCUCAGUCAUCACCAAAAUAAAUGCUGGUUAUAAUCUAAUAGUUCCUAAUACUGAGUAUUGCUAUAUUGGGUGAUUAGCAAUAGUUUUAUUAUGUAAUAAUAUGUAUUGCAGUUGAACAUUUCUAUUAUAGAAUAUGGAUUAUAUUUUCUAUAAACUAUUGGUGUUACAUUUAGUUUAACACUAAAAUGGUUCUCCUGAUUUGAAGGAUGAGCUCUUGUGGGCAGCUGCUUGAUUGUACCGAGCCACGAAUAAUGACUACUAUUUGCAGUAUGCAUCUUACAAUGCAGCCAAUUUAGGUGGAACUGGUAAUUCAGUCAAGAUGUUCUCUUGGGAUAACAAGUAUGCUAGUGUACAGAUCCUUCUAACAAAGGUUUUGUUGGAUGGAGAUGGUCGAGCAUAUACUGACACUCUAAAGCAAUACAAAGCCAAAGCAGAUUUCUUUGUUUGCGCUUAUUUGCAGAAAAACAAUGGUGACAAUGUUCCCAUGACUCCAGGUCAAUCUUCUGUAUCUAUUCUUAUUUGUAAUGUUUAAAGUUUUGGUGCAUAUGCAUUGGUGUUUAUAUUUGUUGGUAACUGUCUAUCUUACAUACGUCCUAGCUUUUGUGCUGCCACUUGAUGAUGCUCAUGACUUUUGUGUUGGUGUAAAAAUACGUGUGUGUAUUUGGUUUAUGUAUGGUAGUGUACGUGUGUCUUAGAUUUUUCCAUGUGUGGAAAAAGUGUGUUGUGGCAAUGUGGCCUUCAUUCUAGACUUCAGAGGCCUUUGUGCACUUGCUGCUCGAGUUGUAUCUUAUUUUUGUGCUUUCUCCAUCAUCAUACUCUAUUUUUUAUGAAAAAAUUUACUUUGCCAUUUAUUUCAUCAUUUUUCUUUAAAAAUGCUUUGCAAGUACCAAACUCAUCAAAAAAAAUAUACUUAUACCAUUGCAUUCCUUCAGACAAUUUUUUUACCCCUGUAUUUCUUCUGACAAUUAAAUAUUAUAUACUUAUUGAUUUUUUUUUUCUAAGGUUAUGAAUGCAACAAGAGAACAAAGGAAACCUAUUGAUGAAAUUAGCCUACUAUGCACCUUCAUUUGUUUAUAGUUAGUUAGAUAGUAGUUAACUUAUGUAGGCUUAAAUCUAACUUUUUAAUUUAGUUGGCAGUUGAUUUAUGUAAUAAUAAUGAUGAUAUUUUGGACAUGACUAGGCUUUUUGGAACAUCAAUCAGUGAUAGUAUGUAGGUCAGGGAUUGGAUUUCAACUCUUUUUUGUUCGUUAAUUUUGACAGAAACUUAAAUAAACUAAACCAAACUAACAUAUCAUAACAUAAGCACAUUCAUUUCAAAUAUUUCAACAUAUUAAAAUAUAAAUAGAAUUGAUUGUAUAUACUACACAGAAAACAAUAAUAAACUAACAUAUAUCUAAAUACAUUUAUCGACUAACAUGUAUAAAAUAAACAUAUAAUUUUUGGUUUUAUAUAGUCUCUAACCUGUAGAUCUGCACUAAUUAUUGCCAAAGAACCAAGAAAAUCUACAAAUCCUACAAAAAAAUUCAAAUUAAACAAUUAGGAAUUAAGUAUGUGCUGCCUAUGUAUAUUAAAAAAACGAAUAAAUGCUAUAAAGUUAUAAUGAAAAAAACCAAAAAAAAAAAAAAUUUGAAACACAACCUACUGUCGGCGGUGGCUGGGCGUCGCUCUGGUUGCAGACCGGCGGCGGGCUGGUGUCGUGGUUGAGGGGGUGGUGGCUGUUAUUAGGCAUUCCAAAAAAAAAAGAAAAAAUAAAUAAAAACAUCACCAAAAACCCCAAAACAGUAAAUUUUAUUUUUUUUAAAAAAAGGGGGCUAAACACUUACCACGGCGGCGCUUUGGGUGAAUUCCGGUCAAGCCUUGGUGUUUGUGGUGAAAUUCGGCGCCGCUAAAGUGAUUUUCGACAAACCUUAGGUGGUGGUGGUGGUGGUUAGGGUUUCCGCAAUUUUUUUAAAAAAAAAAUUAAAAUAAAUCCGCAGACUAACCUACACCGGCAGCGACCAAGGGCGGCUGGUGGUGGAGCAGGAGGCGAGGUCUCCUUCUCCCUUUCUCCUUCUCUCUUUCUCUCUCUUCCUCUUUUUCCCUUUCUCUCUCUUAUUCUUUGGUGCUGUUUUCUGUCGCAAAAAACGCAGAAAACUGAAACCUUUUUUUUUAUUUUGUUGUACGCUUCCAACGGAAUUAAUUCCCUCGGAAUUAACCUGUUCCGGCGGAAUAUUCCGUCGGAAAAGGUUAAUUCCGAGGGAAUUAAAAUCCGUCAGAAGUAUACCUACGGACUUUUCUGUCGGAAAGUCCCGGUUCCGACAGAUUUUUCCUACAAAGCCAAAUUCCGCCGGAAAGUUUAAAAUUACCGAGGGGAUUGCAGUCCGCCGGAAUUUAACCUAUUUCUAGUAGUGUUCUUUGUUUACGCUUAUUUGCAGAAAAACAAUGGUGACAAUGUUCCCAUGACUCCAGGUCAAUCUUAUGUAUCUAUUCUUAUUUGUAAUGUUUAAGGUUUUGGUGCAUAUGCAUUGGUGUUUAUAUUUGUUGGUAAUUGUCUAUCUUACAUACGUCCUAGCUUUUGUGCUGCCACUUGAUGAUGCUCAUGACUUUUGUGUUGGUGUAAAAAUAUGUGUGUGUAUUUGGUUUAUGUAUGGUAGUGUACGUGUGUCUUAGAUUUUUCCAUGUGUGGAAAAAGUGUGCAGUGGCAAUGUGGCCUUCGUUCUAGACUUCACAGGCCUUUGCGCGCUUGUUGCCCAAGUUGUAUCUUAUUUUUGUGCUUUCUCCAUCAUCAUACUCUAUUUUUU